rnacentral:rRNA from 1 species
GACGAACGCUGGCGGCGUGCUUAACACAUGCAAGUCGAACGGAAAGGCCCUGCUUUUGUGGGGUGCUCGAGUGGCGAACGGGUGAGUAACACGUGAGUAACCUGCCCUUGACUUUGGGAUAACUUCAGGAAACUGGGGCUAAUACCGGAUAGGAGCUCCUGCUGCAUGGUGGGGGUUGGAAAGUUUCGGCGGUUGGGGAUGGACUCGCGGCUUAUCAGCUUGUUGGUGGGGUAGUGGCUUACCAAGGCUUUGACGGGUAGCCGGCCUGAGAGGGUGACCGGCCACAUUGGGGCUGAGAUACGACCCAGACUCCUACGGGAGGCAGCAGUGGGGAAUAUUGCACAAUGGGCGGAAGCCUGAUGCAGCAACGCCGCGUGCGGGAUGACGGCCUUCGGGUUGUAAACCGCUUUCGCCUGUGACGAAGCGUGAGUGACGGUAAUGGGUAAAGAAGCACCGGCUAACUACGUG